GACGAACGCUGGCGGCGUGCUUAACACAUGCAAGUCGAACGGAAAGGCCCCCACCUUGGUGGGGGUGCUCGAGUGGCGAACGGGUGAGUAACACGUGGGUGAUCUGCCCUGUACUUCGGGAUAAGCUUGGGAAACUGGGUCUAAUACCGGAUAGGACCAUGGUUUAGUGUCUCAUGGUGGAAAAAUAUUGUUUUGGUGCAGGAUGAGCUCGCGGCCUAUCAGCUUGUUGGUGGGGUAAUGGCCUACCAAGGCGUCGACGGGUAGCCGGCCUGAGAGGGUGGACGGCCACAUUGGGACUGAGAUACGGCCCAGACUCCUACGGGAGGCAGCGGUGGGGAAUCUUGCACAAUGGGCGCAAGCCUGAUGCAGCGACGCCGCGUGGGGGAUGACGGCCUUCGGGUUGUAAACUCCUUUCGUUAGGGACGAAGCCACACCUUUUUUGGGUGUGGUGACGGUACCUUUGUUAAGAAGCACCGGCUAACUACGUG
rnacentral:rRNA from 1 species